AUCCUCUGCUCUGAUAAACUGAUGAAGAGUUUCUGGAAAGUUGUGUAAGACGAAUCUUGGUGCCAAUCUCUGGGUCGAGCUAUGUUCGUGUCGGUUUGUCUGCAAUUCAUCUCCUCUGAAAUGUUACGGGAUGCAUUAACCAUUCGCCUUUAACACAGCCUUCUUAACUCCCUCGCCUCAUUCAAUGCCUCUUAGAGGCGGUGGAUCUCCACCUAUAAAAUGGUCAGUUUUCAUCCCAUGAACAUUAGUCUCAAACUUCCUUCUCGCAGUUUGAACAAUCCUGAAGUUUCAAACUUCCAGAUGUAAAAGCAUCAUCUUCUCCUUAUGAGUUUCAGUGGUUUCUUAUGUCUCAGAUAUGCUAUGAACGCUAUUUUGAUUUUUUUUUUCUGUUUUAUGUUGCGUCUGUAUGUGUGAAUUUGCUUCUUAUAUAACAUCAUCGUCUUUUUGACUUAGGGCAGAUCUCAUGAGAUUCUUCUUAUGUGAGUUUCAGUUAUCCUACUGUCACUAAAACUGAAUGCUCAAUUUGUUGCAGGUGUAUCUUUCUCAAACACAUAAGAGACAUUAACCCUAGCAUUUUCUCAAUAUUGCAGAGUACUUGGAGUGGAUUUUGUAACGGAUGAUGUCAAAUGAAGGUCAAAAGGGUUUGCUUAUGUCACAUUCUCUUCUAAAGGAGAAGCUGUGAAAGCUUUAUGAGAGCUAAACGGACAGUUUGUAGACGGGCGGCUUUUGAUUCUUAGCACAACAAGAGUUGUAAACCAUAAUCGACCCUUCUUGCAUAUCAAAGACCCCAACACAAUCCGCAGUCAAUCUGCAGCCCCUGGUCUUGGUUUAGGAUUCAUCGAUGAUGGUAUAGUGGUUAUUGGUCAAGAAUAGGUGUGCUCUCCUGAUCCUUCGAAUUGAGUUUCAGUGUGGAAGAACGAGAAUCAACCAUGGUCUCUCA